rnacentral:misc_RNA from 1 species
CUAAGGAGACAGAACGCGGCACUUCGGUGCUGCGAUUCUAGGUCAACCCAUCCCAUGGAAACAUGGCGAUGUUAUUACGAUGGUGUCAGAUUAUGAAGCGAGCGUUUCCAAGUCAUACCGCUCCCGCUUUGAAAGAAGCAGUCAUUUCUGUCGAUUAUUCAGUCUGACGGUCGCUAUCGGUGACUAAUCUGCUGGGGGCAUAGCUCAGUUUGGCAGAGCACGAGCUUUGCAAGCUCGGGGUCGCCGGUUCGAACCCGGUUGCCUCCACCAUUUAAAAUGGGCGUGUAGCUCAGUUGGUUAGAGCGCGUCCCUGAUAAGGACGAGGUCCCUGGUUCGACUCCAGGCACGCCCACCAUAUAAGCGUGGCGGUGCCGACAGCAUCCGUACAGACAAUCAACUUUUUACGAUACUUCAUCCGGCAGCAAUGGAACGGAGACGAAAGUCCCGGGCACCAGCGGAGGCGGAUGAUAGUUCAGUUGGUCUUUUACAAUUGCAUAUAGACGGGCAAGCAACUUUGUGCCGAGAAGGCAAGUUUUUUU